rnacentral:rRNA from 1 species
ACGCUCGACACCUACGGAGGCAGCAGUGGGGAAUAUUGCACAAUGGGGGAAACCCUGAUGCAGCGACGCCGCGUGAGCGAAGAAGUAUUUCGGUAUGUAAAGCUCUAUCAGCAGGGAAGAAACUGACGGUACCUGACUAAGAAGCACCGGCUAAAUACGUGCCAACAGCCGCCGGGUAAUACUGAGCGGGCGUGGCGAAGGACG